rnacentral:tRNA from 5 species
GGUCAGGUAGCUCAGUUGGUAGAGCACGGCCCUGAAAAGGCCGGUGUCGCCGGUUCGAGCCCGGCCCUGACCAC